rnacentral:rRNA from 1 species
GCUAAUACCGAAUAAGCCCACGGGUCGGCAUCGACCAGAGGGAAAAGGAGCAAUCCGCUUUGAGAUGGCCUCGCGUCCGAUUAGCUAGUUGGUGAGGUAAUGGCCCACCAAGGCGACGAUCGGUAGCCGGACUGAGAGGUUGAACGGCCUCAUUGGGACUGAGACACGGCCCAGACUCCUACGGGAGGCAGCAGUGGGGAAUAUUGCACAAUGGGGGAAACCCUGAUGCAGCGACGCCGCGUGGAGGAAGAAGGUCUUCGGAUUGUAAACUCCUGUCGUUGAGGAAGAUAAUGACGGUACUCAACAAGGAAGUGACGGCUAACUACGUGCCAGCAGCCGCGGUAAAACGUAGGUCACAAGCGUUGUCCGGAAUUACUGGGUGUAAAGGGAGCGCAGGCGGGAAGACAAGUUGGAAGUGAAAUCCAUGGGCUCAACCCAUGAACUGCUUUCAAAACUGUUUUUCUUGAGUAGUGCAGAGGUAGGCGGAAUUCCCGGUGUAGCGGUGGAAUGCGUAGAUAUCGGGAGGAACACCAGUGGCGAAGGCGGCCUACUGGGCACCAACUGACGCUGAGGCUCGAAAGUGUGGGUAGCAAACAGGAUUAGAUACCCUGGUAGUCCACACCGUAAACGAUGAUUACUAGGUGUUGGAGGAUUGACCCCUUCAGUGCCACAGUUAACACAAUAAGUAAUCCACCUGGGGAGUACGACCGCAAGGUUGAAACUCAAAGGAAUUGACGGGGGCCCGCACAAGCAGUGGAGUAUGUGGUUUAAUUCGACGCAACGCGAAGAACCUUACCAAGUCUUGACAUCCUGCGACGGAUAUAGAAAUAUGUCUUUCCUCCGGGACGCAGAGACAGGUGGUGCAUGGUUGUCGUCAGCUCGUGUCGUGAGAUGUUGGGUUAAGUCCCGCAACGAGCACAACCCUUAUGGUCAGUUACUACGCAAGAGGACUCUGGCCAGACUGCCGUUGACAAAACGGAGGAAGGUGGGGAUGACGUCAAAUCAUCAUGCCCUUUAUGACUUGGGCUACACACGUACUACAAUGGCGUUAAACAAAGAGAAGCAAGACCGCGAGGUGGAGCAAAACUCAGAAACAACGUCCCAGUUCGGACUGCAGGCUGCAACUCGCCUGCACGAAGUCGGAAUUGCUAGUAAUCGUGGAUCAGCAUGCCACGGUGAAUACGUUCCCGGGCCUUGUACACACCGCCCGUCACACCAUGAGAGCCGGGGGGACCCGAAGUCGGUAGUCUAACCGCAAGGAGGACGCCGCCGAAGGUAAAACUGGUGAUUGGGGUGAAGUCGUAACAAGGU